rnacentral:rRNA from 1 species
AUUGAACGCUGGCGGCAAGCCUAACACAUGCAAGUCGAACGAGUGGCGGACGGGUGAGUAAUGUCUGGGAAACUGCCUGAUGGAGGGGGAUAACUACUGGAAACGGUAUCUAAUACCGCAUACCAUCGGAUGUGCCCAGAUGGGAUUAGCUAGUAGGUGGGGUAAAGGCUCACCUAGGCGACGUUACCUAGCUGGUCUGAGAGGAUGACCGGCCAAACUGGAACUGGGACACGGUCCGGACUCCUACGGGAGGCAGCAGUGGGGAAUAUUGCACAAUGGGCGCAAGCCUGAUGCAGCCAUGCCGCGUGUAUGAGGAGGGCCUUCGGGUUGUAAGGUACUUUCAGCGGGGAGGCGUUACCCGCAGAGAAAGCACCGGCUAACUCCGUGCCAGCAGCCGCGGUAAUAC